AGCUUUGUGCAGUGGCAGUAUGGUAGCCAAUGAGGUUUACCCGAGGCACGAUUAUUGCUAAUUGAAAUCUUUUCCCAAUACCCCAAUACCUAACUUGAAAUAUAGUUGGCAUUGGCAAUUUUUGACACUCUCUGUGGAGA
rnacentral:snRNA from 1 species